GGAUGUGAGGGCGAUCUGGCUGUGACAUCUGUCACUCCAUUGAUCACCAGGGUUGAUUUAGCUGAUCUGGUUGGCUAGGUGGGUGUCCUUUCCCCCCCCUCACCGCUCCCUCCCAAAGUUGCUCUCAAGAGGAUGGCCUUUCCUGAAAAGAGACAGCCCGGCCUUUAGUCAAGGGUAUAGAAAUAGCUGCACUCCCCUGCUAGAACCUUCAAACAAGUUCUCAAGAAAAGGAGGGGGAAAAGGAGCAUGUUCUGAUAGUUUAUUUCUCAUACCAAUAUCUAUCUAGAGCAUU
rnacentral:snRNA from 1 species